AGUCACCCUGCUGCUGCAUGUGGAUCAGAUUCAGACCAGGGCAGUGGGAUGCAACAAGCUGAAUUUCUUGACUGACCUUCAGCCUUCCCCCUCCGUGGCAAUAUACAGCUUUCUGUUCUGCUAAGUGAAAGUCAGAAACAGGGGCCAACUGAAAAUACUAAAUCUCAGCAUGACUAUAUCCUGCAGUGGAAAAUUACUACCAUUCAGAAAUGUGCCUUGCUGCAUUACGGUUGUAUAUUUGAAGACUCAAAGCUCUAUCUGCAGCACAAAGGCAGGCUCAACAAAUGACUUAGCAUCUUUGAUCCUUUAUCACAACACUUUAUGGCAGCAUUUCUACUUGGUACAAGGAGGAUCAGAAUCACUCCAUGAAUGAAGGAAUAAAUGAAUGUUUUUGCAGCACCAGAUGACAAAAUUUGCAAUGACCUAUCUUUUUAUCAAAAUGAUUGUAUGGGAAGAUACUUAAAAUGAGACAUUAUUUUUAGACCGAAUUCAGAGAGACACACUCCUUGUCAGCUCUGUGUCUAAGAUACAGAAGCUUGCUGAGGCUUGUUCUUCCAACCUGCUGGUGUACAUUAGAGCAGAAAUCCAUAACAUGGCCAUGUUCAUCCAAGCACAGGAAGAAACUAAAUUAAAUGUUAAAAAACAA